GUCUCUACCUCCCGCGGCUGGGGCUACCCUUCCAGCUACCGGGCACUCCACGGCGUGCGCCCCCGGGGCCUCCCAAACUGUUUCCAAACUGCCCAGACCGGAGGUGGGCGCGGGGAGACUCGGCAAAAAGGGCUGGGUUUGGAGGGGGGUGAUUGUGUGCUUGACUACUAGGAGCCUGGGGGAGGCAGACGUCGACCCCAAAACGAGUUGCAAUCGAGGUAUCUCCGAUCCCGCUUCCUCUUCGGCCCGCACACCCCCUCCCUCCCUCCCUGGAGCUGUACUGGGGAGGGGAAACCAAGACUUGGAACCACAUUAGCCUUCACAUUCCUGGGAGGAUACAGCCCUCGCCUGGACAUGGAAGAUAGCUCCUUUUUUUUUAAAAAAAAAUUUUUUUCCUUUCUGUUUUUAUUUAUUUUUGGAGGGGAGCGCCCAGUAAUUGUCCUGAACACAUGCUUCUUCCUCCUUCCUCCAGCCACCAGCGACAAGAGAGUCCCCUUUUUUGCAUUUAUCAUUUUCCUUCCCCUUUCUUUAUUAAAGGUCCGGGAGUGGCGGCGGCCAAUCAGCGCUCGGCUUCCAUUUUGUGAGUUCAACUCGGAGGCGUCCCCGGCUUCGCGUGGAGCUGUUUGCAGACCCCUCGGUCCCUCUUCUCGGGCUGCCGAGGCGAAGCAGCCGCCUGGCUGGGGCGUCGUGGUGGUGUAUUUCAUAUUGGGGCUCUUUUCGGGGUUUGUAAUUUGGCCGUGGGUAGGUAAUUGGCUGGAGCAGGGCGGCAGGGCGCGGCAGCCAAUCAGCACGCGGCUUCUAUAGGGCUUGAGUUAUUAGACGCUGAUCUCAAAACAUCCUUCAUCAGACUCCAAGGAGAGGCCAACAGAUGAGGGGAGCCAUUUUUCUGCAUUGGAAUUAAAUGGCCAAGUGGGUUUUUCCUUUGUUGACUCCACCAUCCAGUUCAGGACGCCUGAAUGUGUUUAACAUUUGCCAAAGGACUCACACUUGGAAGAAUGGAGAAGACCUUUUAAAAAGAUCUGGAUUUUUCCUUAUGACUUGGAAUCCAUCUUUGUCUUGUAUAACUAGGUCAUGGCACACUAUUAAUGUCAGCAGUUAACAGUUUUGAAUGCAAAAAAACCUAAUUAUCAUGUUAAUGUCGCCUGAGAUGUCCUGAAUUUUCGGAUCCUUCAUCUGCAUGUCCGUCUUUGUCUCUGUCCGAUGUAAGUCAGUUAAAAUGCUCUUAAGACGUUUGCUUUUAUGAAGCUACGGUGUUUAGUGCAAGCUUUUGAGAAAAUGUUUACAGCAGUAGAUGCCUGCUCAGACUUCUUCCCAGUAACUCGUACACUUUCUUUGAAAAUCGAUCUAUUUUGAAGAAAAACAGCUGUUUUUCUCGACUUGGGUGGAAGGGGGGGGUGGUGAGAGAAAGGAAGACUCUCUUGACAAAAGACUAAAAGCCGCCACUGAAAACUAGAUUAAAACGGGAAAACAAGCCCUAGCUGGUUCAAGCCAGACACCUCCAUGAACUCGGUGGUGUUUCCUAUGGCGGCUGGGAAGGGCUUGGUGAGCUCUUUGCGCCUUCUCUUUUGUUUGACUUGACCGUGUUUUUCGCCUUUUGUUUCUUAAUGACGAUCACGCCAUGGCUAAAUCCAGAGCAGUAAACAGUCCACAGCGAAGCCGCCUUUUUGCCAGCCCAACCCUGGAAAGUUUGCAGGUCGUGGAAGGAGCAGAAAAUACCCUGAGUGUAACUUACAAAAAGGUCUUGGCCGGAGAACCGGAGCAAAUGUCUGGCUUAUCCCCACAGUAGACAGCCCUUGCUUCCUCUGGACAUCUGGAGCAGGCCUAAUUUGGCUGACACCUUCCCCACGAAGCACAUGCAGCCAGCCAGCCUCCUGGGCCCAGGACCAAGCCCAAAGAAGGCCGAGAGAAGAAACCUGGAAUCCCUGCAAAGAGCAGCCACUGAGCUACAGCCCAGCGCCUCCUCCUCUGCCUGGUUUUGACAGCACUCCUGAGUUGUGGAGCCUUCUCUGUCUGUAGCCCUUCUCCACUCAGCCAGCCAUCAGGCCCGCCCUGAUUUAGCCUGUUACCUUGACAACCAUUUGGUCCCGUCUCCCUCCCUCCUCACCACUGAAAACCUGAAGAGGGUUUUCCAGCUGCGGUGCAUUGGUGCAUUUGCCCAGGUUGGGCACCCCUCCCGGCCUCCAUGGGCUCCUCCCUCCCUCUGCCCAGCUGUACCCAGUUCAACAAACACCACCUUCCCUGGUCCCGCCGCUGUCGCCUUAAAAUGGAUCUCACUGAUGCUGGGAACUGCAUCACACACACUGCUUCCUCCUGACCGGUCCUCACCGGCGGGAACACGGUUGCUGUUCAAUAAACAAGUUGUAAUAAAAUAAAAAAAAAAAGGAA